rnacentral:lncRNA from 10 species
CUUGAAGUGGCCGGCUCACCUCAUUCCUGCCAAGACCCAGGUCCGUGUUCUCACAGUGCUGCCAUCUUUCCUCCGUGUGAGCGUGGGCUGUGCGGAGAGUGGACCUCGGUGUGUGCGGGGCUGCGUGCACUGCCAUCGCUCCCUCUACACGAGCCGGCGUGGACCCAGGGCUGAGCUGUGACCACGAGGGCCAUCCCGACGAGCCGCCAUGGACCCAGGGCUGAGCUGUGACCAUGAGGGCUAUCCCGACGAGCUGCCGUGGACCCAGGGCUGAGCCGUGACCAUGAGGGCCAUCCCGAAACUGUGAUUGUUUUCUGAUGAAGAAACCAAGGCUUUGUGACUAACUCAACCCCUCAAGAAGGACAAAACUAGCAUCAGAGCCCCUUGCUCCUGGGUCUGGCAAGAAUGCCUCUUGUUUGCUGAGAGGUCCACAGAUUUACCCGGCUCAAGACUGGGAGAUGGGAGGUGACCAGGUCAGUGCCAGCCUCUCUCUGAGCUCCUCUGAGUCGUGGCAGCUGAGGU